UCACUGUUGGUCACUCGUGGUCCCCCCCGGUCGCUCGUGGUCACCGCGGCGCUCAGUGCCCGAUGACGCGGCGGAUCCAGGCGCUGGCCCGGCAGACGUUGCUGUAGACGCCCGGCUGGCCUCGCUGACCACAGACGGCCAAACCCCAGGAGACCACGCCCUGCAGGUACCCCCCGCAGACCAGCGGGCCCCCGGAGUCACCCUGCACAGGUGAGACACACCUGGGUUACACCUGGGUUACACCUGGGUUACAC
rnacentral:lncRNA from 1 species